rnacentral:rRNA from 1 species
UACGGGGGGAGCAAGCGUUGUUCGGAUUUACUGGGCGUAAAGGGCGCGUAGGCGGCCACCGCAAGUCAGUUGUGAAAUCUCUGGGCUUAACCCAGAAAGGUCAACUGAUACUGCGGGGCUAAAGUGCAGAAGGGGCAACUGGAAUUCUCGGUGUAGCGGUGAAAUGCGUAGAUAUCGAGAGGAACACCUGCGGCGAAGGCGGCUUCCUGGACCGAUACUGACGCUGAGACGCGAAAGCGUGGGGAGCAAACAGG